GACGAACGCUGGCGGCGUGCCUAAUACAUGCAAGUCGAGCGAAUCAAUAGGAGCUUGCUCCUGUUGGUUAGCGGCGGACGGGUGAGUAACACGUGGGCAACCUGCCUGUAAGACUGGGAUAGCACCGGGAAACCGGUGCUAAUACCGGAUAAUCUUUUUCCUCUCAUGAGGAAAAACUGAAAGUCGGUUUCGGCUGACACUUACAGAUGGGCCCGCGGCGCAUUAGCUAGUUGGUGAGGUAACGGCUCACCAAGGCGACGAUGCGUAGCCGACCUGAGAGGGUGAUCGGCGACACUGGGACUGAGACACGGCCCAGACUCCUACGGGAGGCAGCAGUAGGGAAUCGUCCACAAUGGACGAAAGUCUGAUGGAGCAACGCCGCGUGAGCGAUGAAGGCCUUCGGGUCGUAAAGCUCUGUUGUUAGGGAAGAACAAGUACCGGAGUAACUGCCGGUACCUUGACGGUACCUAACCAGAAAGCCACGGCUAACUACGUGCCAGCAGCCGCAGUAAAAC
rnacentral:rRNA from 1 species